AGGCAGCCUACUUGUUAAAAAAAAAUUGAUGACAUGAGAGGUGUUUAACUGCUCCUAGAUUAAAUUACGCUUCUGCUCUUCAGACUUGCUGAGAUUUAUUAAUCUUUGAAGCUGGUCUAGUAGUCUUAAGCACAUU
rnacentral:snoRNA from 2 species